CUUAGUUACUUGAGCUUGUAACCCGAGUGGGAGCAAUAAGAUGAUUGGGACAACCAAUUCUUUAGCCCUUUGACACAAAUAGUGUGUUUGGUUUGGUUCAUAAAAAGCGGGUUGUGGUGUAUUAUGCGUACUACGGAUAAUAGUAGUACUCAUGGUCUAAGGAUUUAGACUUGUCGGCUCCCAAAGAGGAGUUCGAUGGUGGGAGGAGGGGGAAAACCCGCGCGGGCGCGGGUUCGACCCUCAUUAUGGCUGGCUUAACAGAGCAGCGCUCCCAACUGAUGGCCGGAGCGGCCCUCCGGCCAUCGAAGACCAGUUCCCGUCCCAAGUCACGCCGCUAUAAGAUGUCAAGGUAUUCGUUGGUUGGACCAUUGUUUUUUAUUGCUUCGC
rnacentral:lncRNA from 1 species